CCACAAUUUCUAACUUUAAAAAUUAUUUUCGAAAAAAAGGCAAAAAUUUUCAUGGCCAAACGGCCCUAAGAAAUUGGAAGUGUUGAAGAUUUUUCUGGAAGCUGAAAAGAUUUCAAGCUUCAUGAACCCAUUCCAAAGUAAGUUGCACCAAACUCAACUCUUGAUUACUUCAGUUUGAACACACUCCCUUCAUGAACACCCCUGUUCAUGUUUUUUCAGUGUUCUAACUUCAAAUCGAUGAAGGAGUUUGAGCUUUGUGAAGUAAUCUUUGUAAGAAUGAAUCUUAGAAAGAUUAAUACCACACAUCAAAGGAAGAAAUUAAGAACUCGAUCAAUGACUAAAAUAGGAUUUUAUUGAGAAUCUUCUGAUACAAAAUGAGAUACAAGAUCACGUAAUAUCCUGUGAGGUGAUGUGUUUUUAGUAGUGUUUUGGACGGUGAAAGGCGAUAAGGUCCCGUCUUGCCACACAACGAGGCGAGCGGUGAGACGAGUGCCUUUUGAAUGUACGAUGAUAAUUAAUGUAAAAAAAUUAAAAUAACAUAUAAAUGAUCAAAAUUUCAAUAACACUAAUAUAUUAGGAAAUAUUUCAAGUCAAGAAUUAAAAAUAGAUAGUAGAUAGAUACUAAAAGUCUAGAACUUGAAUGACUCAACAAUCCAAUAUCCAUAAAACAAGUAGAUAUAUGCCAUUGAAAUUGGAAGUUGUUAAUGAUCAAGACAUCAAGUCAUUUAAUUAGUAUAUUACUAUCAUACUAUGUUAAUUGAAUUCUAUAUAAGUUAUUAAAAAAGAAUUAUAUAAUAAGGCUACAAGGAACGAGCUUACUGGUUAUUGAUACAGUAACAGUGUUUUAAGACAAGUUCACUGUUACAGAAUACAGUGGAGGAAAAUAGAAGAAGAAGAGAAAAGAGGAAGGAAAAAAAAAGCACUAAAGUACAAGUCCAGUUACUGGAUUAAGAAGAAGAAGUAAAAAGAAAAAAAAAUAUAAAUCAAUACUUCACAGGCUUACUGCUUAUCGGAGUUGCUGGAGUACGUCACUGGAAUCAAAUUUUGGAGAUGGAUGGUAUCAGCGGAAGUCACCACUAAGCAGUUGGUAGAGCCAAAAUGUGUAAAUAAGUCCGAAAAUUAGUUUAUAUACCGAAAAUCCUAUUUUUUUUUAAAAAAAUUAAAAGGCGGCGCCAUUGUCGCCUCGUCGCCUCGCCUCGCCAUGUCGCCUUUCUCGCAAAGGAGACGCCUUUUGAUUUUCGCAAUGCUAUGACCUGAAGAGGCGACCAGGCCUUGCCUCGCCAUUCGCCAUUGGCGACGUGGCGAGCGCCUUUUACAACACCGAUUGUUACAUUCUGCUGGAUGUUCCUGAUUUUUCAUCGACCCUAAAAUUGGGAUCUCAACUACUGCAAUCUCAUCAGUACAUUUGCUUGUCUUGUCCAUGUUUUUCAGACUCCCCAGAGCAUAAGUUAUGUUGGUGUAUUUCUGCAUCUAUUUUUAUAGCUCCAGGAAUUGAUAUGUGUUGUUGUUGCUGUGGUUGCUGCUUGUCCUAUUGCAUUUCUUGAAUCUUCUUGGUAGUUACUGCAUUUUCCUCUCCACUAUCUAUUGUUACACUAUUAGUGCUUUGUUUAUGUAAUUCAAUGAUUCUUUUCCCUAGAUUCUGAAUUUCAUCCUUAAGAGAAUGAGUUUUCUCCUCAAUAAUGGUUGCU